GGGAAAAUUCAGCUGGUGGCCCUUCUGGGGCCAGGUCCUCCCCAACCACGCACGGAGGAGGCCGCCGCCGAGCCCUCUGACGCCAGGGCCUUCGGGCGGGCCAAGAGCGCGCAGGGCGCUGAGCCGGCGGGUCGAGCCAGCGAGGGCUUGGACUCCCCGUGGUGUGUGUGCGCGCAAGCGCUCCUCGUCUAACCGUUCAGGACAAGUUGAAGCAACAUAAAUAAAGUCGGAUCUCCCAGCCUUGAGGUCCACCCCUCCUCCUUCCUGGUUUGACCCCAGGCCGGGGCCGCUCGGAGCCACGGCGUGUGCAGCCAAGAUUGCAAGCCGCUGCGCGUUACUGCCAGGGGAAGGGCGCCGCCCCCACCCCCCACCCCCACCCCCGCCACCAGCGGCCACGACUCGGGAGCCAUCGAGUCAAGGAGGGGCAGGGAUCACCGGAGAACCCUGAGGGGCAGCCUGGCCGCCUCCAAGGAGGUCGGGCGCGAGGACCGGGCUGGAGUGGCCCUUCUCUUGGGGUCCCCAACGAGCGGAGAGGCACGAGCCACGGCACGAGCUGGGAGGCAGAAAUGGGGUUUCGCGGUGCCCGGAGGGAUCGCGAGCCCCAGAGGCGUUCCCGUCUCCAACACGCCACUCGACAGAGGGUGCUCGGGGCGGUCGGGGCCUGCGGCCUGGGUCGCGCUGACCGGAAGUGCAUCUGCGAAGUGUCCUCUGGGCAGGGCGCUGGCCGCCGGGCCGGGCUGGGACAAGGACAAAGUCGGAGUCGCCCGGCUGGGGCGGGACGCUUCCACCCACCGGCCUGGGCGCAGGUGGGAGAGGAAGGAGGGAAGCAGACCCCGCUGAUUGUGGAGGGCGGGGGGCCCUCUGGAUGGGGAAAAGACGGAACCCCCAGGAACUCCAUCUGAGACCCGGGUGGAGUGCGGUGUGAGAGCAGGAAUUCAGCCUUGACUUGACUAACUUGAGGGGAAGUACAGGGUCGGGGGUGGGGGCUGAGAGCCACUCCUUCUUGAGAGUCCAAAAGACAGAGACUAGUCCUGAACCCAAGUCUGUGCCUCUCCCUACCAUGUGCCAAGCUCUCCGUAUGCUGGAGACUUGAUACUGAGCCAGUUGCCAAGGCGAGUCAGCCUGGCAGUUUACGAUGCAUUACUACAGUGUAAGUUUUAAUGUGGUUUGGUGUGACUGUGGCAAGACGGCCCUGGACCUCACUUUUCUCAUCUGUAAAAUGGGGAUGAUAACAUCCCACUCAAAGAAGUGCGUGCGGCUGAAUUAAGUAAAUUAUGCCAAAUAGCUAGCAGUGUGCGCUGGCAAGUAAAUUAUGAUUAUGUUAUUAACCAUUUCAAACUUCUGGAAGUGUCUUCUGAAUUGCCUUCAUCCUGUCCAAUGGACAAGUCCUGCCGGUGGAAGUGAAGGGGAGAGGAGGACAGGGUGAGCUCCGCUGAGGUGGUUUCUGGGACUUGCUUUGUCUUCUUCAGCACAUACAUUACCUUCAGCUUGGACAACAUUGCAACUAUUACAGGUUGCUUCUCCCCAGCCCCCUGGAGGCCGCCAAGCAGCAGCAGAGCCCCAAUCAGGAAGAAAGGAAAAUGAGGACGGAGGAAGGCAAGAAGGUGGGAAGGUCAGGGUCUUGGCCAGGUUCCGAGGUAAAGUCAGGUGCUAAGAGUAGAUAUGACACAGAAGAAGACACACAGCCACGGACAAGGCACGGAACAAAUAUUUAAAUUCUCCGAGCUUCAGUUUCCUCCACCGGACAAAGAAAAUUCUCUUUGCCCAUAAUGGUUGGAAGAUAAAAGGAGAUAUGGGCAAGAAAUCAAAUUACAUAAUAAUGACACAUCCAUAGACUUCACUAAUACAAUCCCGGGGAGGGGUAACCACCUCGUCCCUCUCCCCCAAGGUUAAGGGGAAGAGCUCUUAGCUUUGACCUCCUGAGAGUGCUGAAAUGGAGCCUUAAGGAAUAGG